rnacentral:rRNA from 1 species
GUGGCGGACGGGUGAGUAACGCGUGAGUAACCUGCCUUUCANAGGGGAAUAACGUUCUGAAAAGAAACGCUAAUACCGCAUAACGUACAGUUACCGCAUGGUAGCAGUACCAAAGGAGCAAUCCGCUGAGAGAUGGACUCGCGUCCGAUUAGCUAGUUGGUGGGGUAAAGGCCUACCAAGGCGACGAUCGGUAGCCGGACUGAGAGGUUGAACGGCCACAUUGGGACUGAGACACGGCCCAGACUCCUACGGGAGGCAGCAUG